rnacentral:lncRNA from 1 species
UGGCAUGGUCUUCACUUACUUGUGGAAAGAUGUGAUUCUUCCACCAUUCACCUUGUGGUCUUCUUUCACGUGUUGGAUAUCUUCUUUCAUGCAAAGAAGAUGAGCCUUCAUGUACCUCUUGCUGCCUUGUAUGGCUCAUGGAGUUCCUUCUCUCACUCCUUGGUUGAUAUUCUUCAUCUUCAUUCUCUUCAUUGUCUUUGUUGUAUCUUGCUGGAAUACAACUCUUCAUAGUGUUGGGCUCUUCUUCAUCUAUAUCUUCACUUUGAGAAUGUUCUUCUUCAUCUUCUUGUUUGUUUAGUAGAGUUGAAGAUGUGUCCACAAACACACCACUACUCCCACUUGGACACAUCUCCCACUUUUCACU